AUUGAACGCUGGCGGCAGGCCUAACACAUGCAAGUCGAGCGGAGCGGCGGACGGGGGCGUAAUGCCUAGGAAUCUGCCUGGGAGUGGGGGAUAACGUCCGGAAACGGGCGCUAAUACCGCAUACUAUCAGCUGAGCCUAGGUCGGAUUAGCUAGUAGGUGGGGUAACGGCUCACCUAGGCGACGAUCCCUAGCUGGUCUGAGAGGAUGACCAGCCACACUGGAACUGAGACACGGUCCAGACGCCUACGGGAGGCAGCAGUGGGGAAUAUUGCACAAUGGGCGCAAGCCUGAUGCAGCCAUGCCGCGUGUAUGAAGAAGGCCUUCGGGUUGUAAAGUACUUUCAGCGGGGAGGCGUUACCCGCAGAAGAAGCACCGGCUAACUCCGUGCCAGCCGCCGCGGUAAUUC
rnacentral:rRNA from 1 species